GGGGGUGUGAUGGAUAAUUCGACGGGUGAACGCCGCUUGUGCGGACAGCCACGGACGGGGGUUCGAUUCCCCCCACCUCCACCA
rnacentral:tmRNA from 1 species